ACACUCCUACGGGAGGCAGCAGUGGGGAAUAUUGCACAAUGGGCGCAAGCCUGAUGCAGCCAUGCCGCGUGUGUGAAGAAGGCCUUCGGGUUGUAAAGCACUUUCAGCGGGGAGGAAGGCGAUACGGUUAAUAACCGUGUUGAUUGACGUUACCCGCAGAAGAAGCACCGGCUAACUCCGUGCCAGCAGCCGCGGUAAUACGGAGGGUGCAAGCGUUAAUCGGAAUUACUGGGCGUAAAGCGCACGCAGGCGGUCUGUCAAGUCGGAUGUGAAAUCCCCGGGCUCAACCUGGGAACUGCAUUCGAAACUGGCAGGCUUGAGUCUUGUAGAGGGGGGUAGAAUUCCAGGUGUAGCGGUGAAAUGCGUAGAGAUCUGGAGGAAUACCGGUGGCGAAGGCGGCCCCCUGGACAAAGACUGACGCUCAGGUGCGAAAGCGUGGGGAGCAAACAGGAUUAGAAACCCCGGUAGUCC
rnacentral:rRNA from 1 species